rnacentral:rRNA from 1 species
UACGUAGGGUGCAAGCGUUAUCCGGAAUUAUUGGGCGUAAAGAGCUCGUAGGCGGUUUGUCGCGUCUGCCGUGAAAGCCCAGGGCUUAACCCUGGGUCUGCGGUGGGUACGGGCAGACUAGAGUGUGGUAGGGGGAGACUGGAAUUCCUGGUGUAGCGGUGAAAUGCGCAGAUAUCAGGAGGAACACCGGUGGCGAAGGCGGGUCUCUGGGCCGAUAUUGACGCUGAGGAGCGAAAGCAUGGGGAGCGAACAGG